AAGAGAAGCGACCUCGCGAGAGCAAGCGGACCUCAUAAAGUGCGUCGUAGUCCGGAUUGGAGUCUGCAACUCGACUCCAUGAAGUCGGAAUCGCUAGUAAUCGUGGAUCAGAAUGCCACGGUGAAUACGUUCCCGGGCCUUGUACACACCGCCCGUCACACCAUGGGAGUGGGUUGCAAAAGAAGUAGGUAGCUUAACCUUCGGGAGGGCGCUUACCACUUUGUGAUUCAUGACUGGGGUGAAGUCGUAACAAGGUAACCGUAGGGGAACCUGCGGUUGGAUCAC
rnacentral:rRNA from 1 species